rnacentral:rRNA from 1 species
AUGGUUUGAUUAUUAAAGUUCCAACGGUACAAGAUGAGCAUGCGUCCCAUUAGCUAGUUGGUGUGGUAACGGCAUACCAAGGCGACGAUGGGUAGGGGUCCUGAGAGGGAGAUCCCCCACACUGGUACUGAGACACGGACCAGACUCCUACGGGAGGCAGCAGUGAGGAAUAUUGGUCAAUGGUCGGAAGACUGAACCAGCCAUGCCGCGUGCAGGAAGACGGUCCUAUGGAUUGUAAACUGCUUUUGUACGGGAAGAAACACUCCUUCGUGAAGGAGCUUGACGGUACCGUAAGAAUAAGGAUCGGCUAACUCCGUGCCAGCAGCCGCGGUAAUACGGAGGAUCCAAGCGUUAUCCGGAAUCAUUGGGUUUAAAGGGUCCGUAGGCGGUUAGAUAAGUCAGUGGUGAAAUCCGGCAGCUUAACUGUCGAACUGCCAUUGAUACUGUUUGACUUGAAUUACUGUGAAGUAACUAGAAUAUGUAGUGUAGCGGUGAAAUGCUUAGAUAUUACAUGGAAUACCAAUUGCGAAGG